AGAUACAGGAUACCAGAGAUACCAGAGAGAAACUCGCCCGAAGAAAUAUCUGUUGUUCAGGAGAUAAUCAGAGAUAAUUUUGUUCAUGUAAAUACGGAGGGAAAGUUACAAGCUACUCUGUUUUUAAGAGAAAUAAUUUCUAUAAGCUGACUAUGUCCAAGGGUUAUGCGGAAGGUGUAUUAUUUAUCACAAUUCAGCAUUUAUGCUUAUCUAUUUUACAGUGUUCCACCACAUGUGAUUAUGUUUGCGAUUUUAAUGGUUGUAAAAGAUCCAUAAAGAAUCUUAAUAUCUCAAUUGAGGAAUAUUGUACAAAUAAUACCUCCACCGAUGUUAGCUUCUCGCUAAUAGAACGUGGCAGUAACAUGUCUGAAUUUCCUGCCAUUGUGGGACUUGGCAUAAAACCACCGAAGACUAAGUGCAAAUAUGAUAUGACACUGUAUGCGAAGGAAAUGCUUAACAAAAAGGAAUGUACAAAUUAUAAAUUCAACAGUUAUAGAAAUGAAAUACAUAGUAAAUUUUCGAUAUGUUUCAUUUCUGAUGAAAAACAAUACAAGAAUGAAACUCAGGUACUUAUCCCAUAUAUAUUUACAGCCUGUUACAAAGUGCAAUUUUACUUCAAUAACUCGUAUGAAUGGAUGGAAGGUAAUAAUAAGUUCUUGGAAACUAAUUAUAAAAAAACAGAAUUAACAGAACCACGUGCUGACUGUGUAUACUAUGUCAUUAAUCAUGAGAAUAAUACAGUAUUGCGGUUUCGGGUGAAUUUGACAUUGCCUGUAGUCACAGAAGCAGAAAUAAGAUUAACGAGGAACAUCUCCGAGAAGUAUGAAACCUUCAAUAAUUUCACAUCGAAGUUCGAUGUUCUGAAUAAAUAUUUAGGAACUGAGUAUUAUGAUACGUAUAACAAAACUUUGAUAACGAGGUACGUCAAAGACUUUGAUUCUUAUAAAACUUCGAAUUAUGAAAAAUGGCCAUAUCGUUUUAAAAUAAUUCUGCGUCGGGAUAUAAGGUGUUGGGAGACCAGAGUGUGGAAGCAACCCAAUUCCGACUGUAUCUACUAUACAAAGUGCAGACAUAACGAAGAACAAAUUUCACUCAAUCACGAUAAUCAAUGGAACAGUAUGAAAUACAUCGUAGCGAUCAUACUUUCAAUCAUUGGAAUAAUAUAUUUUCUUUACAUCAGUUGGUUUUGUAUAAAACGAGGAAAAGCGUUUUAUGAAAACGAUUGGGUAGCCCGUACGAUCGCAGAGUCGGCUGCCUUGACAGAAAAUGUUGUGAAUAGAAAUAUUGUUUUGGUAUAUCCAAAAGGUUCUAAAAAAUUCAUGAAUACGAUGUCUGAUUUUCGAACAAUGCUUUGCGAGGCUUGCCAUUGCAUCGUGAGUGAAUUUCCUAUUGAAACUGUAGAUUCCCUCGUUCGUUUUCAUUUUUAUUCGUUACAGAUACGCGAUUGGCACAACGGUGCAGAGUGGAAUCAUGUGGCCAGAAUCGGUCCUUCCGAAUGGUUUUCCGAGAUGCUUCGAGACAAGUGUCGAGUAAUUUGGAUCGACGUGCCAGCAACACGUUUAUUAAUCGGAAAAAAAUAUGAGUCGAGGAAUGUAGAGAUCGGUGAUUUUCGGGAUGCAGUGUUCCCCAUGAUUUUUAAUUUAUCCAAAUGGGACGUUGAACGAUCGACACCGUGCGAGAUUAAACACUUUAUCGUACGACUAAUAAGGAACGAGAGAACUGCUUUUGCUAACAAUAAGAAGACACGUUACAGUAGAGAUGUUUUCAAAUUACAUUUCAUCUCUUCAUUUUAACACCUGUCUCUCCAUCCCUAUGCAACUGCGAAUCAUCUUAAAUUAAUUAUAUGCCUCAUCACUUCAAUUAAAAUAUACUUGAAGAGUUCGACAAUUUGGUAGCUGACGACGAUCCGUUCAUUGAUUUACACGCGAGCGUGCGGUAUUCUAUGCCGCAGGAUUUGGAC